AAGGUAGUAUCGCAAGAACUUCACUUGAUACUCGUUUGUUUAUUUUUAAUACGACAAUAAAUCUGCCUUGAUCCAUUAAGGACUAGGACAGAGGG
rnacentral:ncRNA from 1 species